GGGCAUGGGCGAAAGCCUGACCCAGCAACGCCGCGUGAAGGAUGAAGUGAUCUUCGGUAUGUAAACUUCUAAAGAAUAGGAAGAAUAAAUGACGGUACUAUUUAUAAGGUCCGGCUAACUACGUGCCAGCAGCCGGCGGUAAUA
rnacentral:rRNA from 1 species